rnacentral:lncRNA from 1 species
GGGGAAGAAAAGCUGUAUCGAUUGUUGAGAUCUGGCGACUUGUUUAAAUUUCAUCAGCCUCACUUCUAUGAACUCUCAGGCCUCACGUGUACCAGCUCUCUGCUCUCCUUUGCCUUGGGACGUUCCAUCCCUGGAAGUUUCCCUGCCCACAUCUUUGUAGAGAGUCCAUUCUCCAAGCUUCAGUGUGUCAUCUGUGAGGACCGUGACCCACCUGGUACAUCGCCUCAGGGCAUUCAUUUCAGGCUCCUUCUAAAUGGCCAAGUUUUCAAGAUUGUUUUGGCUCUAGCAAAACAAGUUGGAACAUUCACAUCAUCCAAGACAACACCAACAUUUUUGUAAUGGCCUGCAAGGCCUUCCGAGAUCUACCUCCUGCAACUCAGCUUCUCCUGUGCUCUCCUUCUGGACUCACUCUGCCUCAGCAACACUGGUCCCUGUUGCCCCACCAAUAUGCCAGGUAAACCUCAGGUUCUCCUCCUGCCUUUUGCUAAGUAUAUGUCUUGAUGACAAGCCUUCUGCUGAUGAGCUGUGUUUCUGGACCGAUCAUGGUAGAAGUCAAUUAACGUGUCCCUCACUUGGGGUUUCUCAAGGCUGCACUGAUGAGGAAACUGAAACAGAAAAUCCAGAGUAAAUUCCACCAGGCCACACAGCAAGGUCUGAUAGAGCCAGGAGAGACUUUAUGAAAUCCAGACUCUCACACUAAUGCUCUAUCAGCUAGACCUCCAUGUGAGUCUCCCCAAUGUAGGUAGGAAGUGCUUUCC